CCUGGCGGCACUAGCGCGGUGGUCCCACCUGACCCCAUGCCGAACUCAGAAGUGAAACGCCGUAGCGCACUGAGU
rnacentral:rRNA from 1 species